UACGGAGGGUGCAAGCGUUAUCCGGAUUUACUGGGUUUAAAGGGUGCGUAGGCGGGUCUUUAAGUCAGUGGUGAAAACUCCGAGCUCAACUCGGAAACUGCCAUUGAUACUAUUGAUCUUGAAUUUAGUUGAGGUUGGCGGAAUGUGUCGUGUAGCGGUGAAAUGCUUAGAUAUGACACAGAACACCGAUUGCGAAGGCAGCUGGCUAAACUAAAAUUGACGCUGAGGCACGAAAGUGUGGGGAUCAAACAGG
rnacentral:rRNA from 1 species